UACGUAUGGUGCAAGCGUUAUCCGGAUUUACUGGGCGUAAAGGGAGCGCAGGCGGCGCGCCAAGUCUGAUGUGAAACCCCGGGGCUCAACCCCGGGCAUGCAUUGGAAACUGGCGGGCUGGAGUGCCGGAGAGGUAAGCGGAAUUCCUAGUGUAGCGGCGAAAUGCGUAGAUAUUAGGAGGAACACCAGUGGCGAAGGCGGCUUACUGGACGGCAACUGACGCUGAGGCUCGAAAGCGUGGGGAGCAAACAGG
rnacentral:rRNA from 1 species